UUUAGCCUCAGUGACUGCACACAGCUCUCCAGAAGUCCCAACCUCAGAGGCACAUUUACACACUCUCCAAGGCUACCCUGCACCUCACCCAUAUCCAGGACCAGUCUGUCUACAGAACACAUGGAGACCAAACUGAUAUCAACCAUCCAUCAAACACCUGCAAUCACAACCACACUUACCAGCAACUACAGAUGAAAUGGUCAAGCCUACAUAACAGAGGUUGAAUCAUGGUACCAAUACUGAAAGGCUCAGGCAGGUUCCAAGAAGGUGACAACAGGUAUUUCUGCUCCUGUUGCUGGAGAGUCUGGAUCUGCG